CCUACGGGAGGCAGCAGUGGGGAAUAUUGGACAAUGGGGGGAACCCUGAUCCAGCCAUGCCGCGUGUGUGAAGAAGGCCCUCGGGUUGUAAAGCACUUUCAGUGAGGAAGAACGCCUGGUGGUUAAUACCCAUCAGGAAAGACAUCACUCACAGAAGAAGCACCGGCUAACUCCGUGCCAGCAGCCGCGGUAAUACGGAGGGUGCGAGCGUUAAUCGGAAUUACUGGGCGUAAAGCGCGCGUAGGUGGCUUGAUAAGCCGGUUGUGAAAGCCCCGGGCUCAACCUGGGAACGGCAUCCGGAACUGUCAAGCUAGAGUGCAGGAGAGGAAGGUAGAAUUCCCGGUGUAGCGGUGAAAUGCGUAGAGAUCGGGAGGAAUACCAGUGGCGAAGGCGGCCUUCUGGACUGACACUGACACUGAGGUGCGAAAGCGUGGGUAGCAAACAGGCUUAGAUACCCUAGUAGUC
rnacentral:rRNA from 1 species